ACAAAGUACUGCACCGAGGACGCGCUGUUAAAAGCUGGACUAAGAUCGUAGAAUAUUGUGCAUGGCAGUGACCUAAAUUUACGAUCGCAGCCCUACUGCGCGUUUUACCCCAGAACAAAUUGUGCGCCACGCUAAUAUGAUCCCCGUAGAUCGAGCGCAAUAAUUAGAAAUUGAAUUCCCCUCGUGCGAGGCAGCCCAGCCGAUGAACGGUUUAGAAAAGUAUAAAUAUUAAGUAAGCCACAACCUCGCUGUUGGACCUACCGUCAGUGCAUGCAUUCCGGCCGUUGAACGGUUAUAAAGGGCAUAAACGGAAAAUUUAAUCACGUCAAAAUAAACGGAUUCAAAUUUGUGGAAAACUCUGUUACUUGACCAAUUCUCGUAACACCAGUGAUAGUGAAGAUCUACCAGCCUAAUGAAACAAUAUAACCAAACAUGAUAAACAAAAACAACGAUUCAAAAAUUCCUUCGCCACCACAUUCCUUCAUCGUCCUGAAAUUCCAGCCUCGUCAUCGCGAUGAUGCCGAUCUUCCACAUAAAUAAUUCCGCUUGCCAGCCCAGACGUAGCAGUAAUGAAUGGCUGCAAAGAUAGAGCGCGAACGAUCGACCUUAUCGUUUGGAGGGGAUCAAAGAAAGUGUGGCACAGGAAAAUAUCCUUUGCGGACAACGACCGACUCAACUUUGAAUUAAG